ensembl:lncRNA
GACUGUCAAUGGUGAAAGGAACCUAGAAGGAUCAUGCAUGCAUCUCCUGCCUCUAUUGCUGGAAUCUACUUUACCCUAGGGAACCCAAUUCAACACAGUGAGUUCCUGAAUGACAUUGCAGGGCAGGUCCGGGAUGUGGACAGGACUCAAACCCCAAGCCUUCUGAUCAUUCCAGAUUGGAAGAACUCAGGCUUCCAAGCCAAGCCAAGGGAGGAACAACCCCAGAAGCAACCUGAAAGUUUGGUCUUCAUCCCAUGCUCCAGUCUUAUGCUGAAGACAUUUGGGUUCAGGCCAACUCUGGCUUUUCAGAUGCCAGCUCCAGGUCAUGACUCGGUUGACAAAAUGGAGAAGAGGACUUAGAAGUUAGAGAUGCUUCCUCUUGCUGAGCUGGAAGCAACAAGCCACUGUGAGCGCUAAAGCUGUGAGGAGAUGAAUUCUGCUAACACUCACGUGAACUUGGACGAGGACUUCGAUCCUCAGAUGAGACCCUAGCCCUGCCUGAAAUCUUGACUGCAGUCUUAUAAAACCCUG